UUCCGGUUGAUCCUGCCGGACCUGACUGCUAUCGGAUUGAUACUAAGCCAUGCGAGUCAUUGUAGCAAUACAAGGCAGACGGCUCAGUAACGCGUAGUCAACCUACCCUAUGGACGGGAAUAACCUCGGGAAACUGAGUAUAAUGCCCGAUAGAACACUAUACCUGGAAUGGUUUGUGUUUCAAAUGAUUUAUUGCCAUAGGAUGGGACUGCGGCCUAUCAGUUUGUUGGUGAGGUAAUGGCCCACCAAGACUAUUACAGGUACGGGCUCUGAGAGGAGUGGCCCGGAGAUGGGUACUGAGACACGGACCCAGGCCCUAUGGGGCGCAGCAGGCGAGAAAACUUUGCAAUGUGCGAAAGCACGACAAGGUUAAUCCGAGUGGUUUCUGCUAAAGGAACCUUUUGACAGUCCUAGAAACACUGUUGAAUAAGGGGGUGGGCAAGUUCUGGUGUCAGCCGCCGCGGUAAAACCAGCACCUCAAGUGGUCAGGAUGAUUAUUGGGCCUAAAGCAUCCGUAGCCGGCCCUGUAAGUUUUCGGUUAAAUCUGUACGCUUAACGUACAGGCUGCUGGGAAUACUGCAAGGCUAGGGAGUGGGAGAGGUAGACGGUACUCGGGAGGAAGUGGUAAAAUGCUUUGAUCUCUCGAUGACCACCUGUGGCGAAGGCGGUCUACCAGAACACGUCCGACGGUGAGGGAUGAAAGCUGGGGGAGCAAACCGGAUUAGAUACCCGGGUAGUCCCAGCUGUAAACUAUGCAAACUCAGUGAUGCACUGGCUUGUGGCCAGUGCAGUGUUGCAGGGAAGCCGUUAAGUUUGCCGCCUGGGAAGUACGUACGCAAGUAUGAAACUUAAAGGAAUUGGCGGGGGAGCACCAC
rnacentral:rRNA from 1 species